UACGAAGGGGGCGAGCGUUGUUCGGAGUUACUGGGCGUAAAGGGCGCGUAGGCGGCGCUCCAAGUUAGGCGUGAAAGCCCCGGGCUCAACCUGGGAAUUGCGCUUAAGACUGGAGUGCUCGAGUGCGGGAGAGGUGAGUGGAAUUCCCAGUGUAGAGGUGAAAUUCGUAGAUAUUCGGAGGAACACCAGUGGCGGAGGCGGCUCACUGGUCCGGUACUGACGCUGAGGUGCGAAAGCGUGGGGAGCAAACAGG
rnacentral:rRNA from 1 species